UAAGACGGAGGGUGCAAGCGUUGUUCGGAAUUACUGGGCGUAAAGCGCGGGCAGGUGGCCUUUUAAGUCCUUUGUGAAAUCCCGGGGCUCAACUCCGGAUGUGCAUAGGAUACUGGAAGGCUUGAGACAGGUAGAGGCGAGCGGAAUUCCUGGUGUAGCGGUGGAAUGCGUAGAUAUCAGGAAGAACACCGGUGGCGAAGGCGGCUCGCUGGGCCUGUUCUGACACUCAUCCGCGAAAGCGUGGGGAGCAAACAGGAUUAGAUACCCUGGUAGUCCACGCCGUAAACGAUGGGCACUAGAUGCCGGGUCUAUAGACGGAUUCGGUGUCGCAGCUAACGCAUUAAGUGCCCCGCCUGGGGAGUACGGCCGCAAGGCUG
rnacentral:rRNA from 1 species